GAUGAACGCUGACAGAAUGCUUAACACAUCAGCGACUGAAUGGUGGCGGACGGGUGAGUAACGCGUAAAGAACUUGCCUCUCAGGUAGGGACAACAUUUGGAAACGAAUGCUACUACCUAAUACUGUGAGAGAGCUUUGCGUCCCAUUAGCUGGUGGGGGAGGUAACGGGUCACCAAGGCGGUGAUGGGUAGCCGGCCUGGGAGGGUGAGCGGCCACGAUGGGGCUGGGACACAGCCCUUAGGCCUACGGGAGGCAGCAGGGGAGAAUAAUGGACAAUUGACCAUAGUGUGAGCCAGCAAUUCGGUUUGCACGAUGAAGUUUUCGGAAUGUAAAGUGCUUUGAGUUGAGAAGCGGUACCAACAGAAGAAGUGACGGCUAAAUACGUGCCAGCAGCCGCGGUAAUAC
rnacentral:rRNA from 1 species